ACUGAGAUAAAAUAGUGUUCUAGAGUUUAAAAAACACACGGAGGAUUGCCACCCUCAGGAGAUCACAAGUCACAAGACAAACCUCUAAUCAGAAAAAUCCGUUUUUAAUCCGUUUUUUUUUUUAAAUUCUUUGAUUUCUUAACUCCCCCUUUAUUCCUAUGCCAGUGUGUGAUACUGUCAGGUUGAAAAGUCAACCAGUAAUGCACACAAGAUGCAACCCUCUCCCUUGAUGCUCAGAUGGAGACUGCAGUUACUCUUUACAGCCCCUGAGAUAAGGGUCUUCACCCACAGAAACACCUCCCUGUCUCCUGCUGCCCUGGGACUUUUCCACCUGUGCCCCAUCAACACCAGCUCUCUGAAUCCCCCUGCUUUCCCAGGACUUCUCUGCCCAGGCUGAGUAACAUCACAUCACUGCUUCCCCUCACUCCAGGUCCCUCUCCCUGGGAUAGAGCCAUACAUGUAGGCAAGGCAGGUCUGUAGUAUGGUUAUUUUCAAAUAUCCUCAUUCCCAAGGCACUCACACAGAACUUUGCCAAUAUGCCAUUGCCCAGCCCUGAAAAAAAGUCACAGGCUCAGAGGAACUUCUCACAUCAUAGCAGAGUUCCUCCUGCAGGUGGCCAAAAAAAAAAAAAAAAUGCCCUAACUCAAGAGGAGUUUGCAAAAGUUGCCAUGACUCCAGGUUGCUCAGAGGGGCCUUCUCUUCCUCACCACUACCCCAGGCUAGGAGUGCUGCUGCCAUUCUUUCCCCCAUCACUUUACUCUGCACCCUUUCAGCCCCACAUCCCCAUGCAACCUAUAGAUCCACUUGCUGUUCUACCUUAUUCUCCCCAUUCACCUUUCACAGUGUUUCUGCUGCUCCUCAUAGUCCCUAUGUCCUGUCUAGCCCCCUAAACCAUAGAAUAGUAGCCUGCCGGGAUGGCUUCGUUCAAUCUCACUGAAAACAGUAGGAGAGGGCAGCCAACUUUAUAAAGGGCAGCUUCGCUACCACAUGCGGAGGAACUGUAGAGAAACAGUAGCCAUCUUGGUGGCUUCAGCUCCAUUGAGAAUAGUAGUAGUUGGUGGCCAUGUUGAAUAAGGAAAUUGAUGCAUGGGCACUAUUCAGUAUGUUUUCAUAGGACACAUUAAAAUAAAAAUACCACAAAAUCACUGCAACCAUGAUAAAAAUCAUGAGACAUAACAAUAUUGGAAAAGCCUUGUCUCCUGUCUCAAAAUAGUAAUUUUUCAGAAGUCUAUAUUGCAAAAGAAAUCUUAGAUGAACACUCAAUUGUGCACAAAUGUGGUCAAGAUUUUUCAGGAGUGAUUUUGCAUACCUUAGUUUUUGUAUAUUCUACUGGAUAUAUUAUAAACAGCUUUACUUGCAGGAAUUAUUGAGCACCUACAUUUUCAAAAUCAGGUCAUGUUAAGGUGUCUCAAAUUGAGCACUAAAAAUAAAGGCAAUAGUCUCAAUCUGUAGCUACCUCUGAAAGUUUUAGCUACAGUAUUGUAACAAGCAAGCUCAUCACCAAUUAGGCCUGGUUUCUCUUGAUUUUGUUAUCAUGCUCUUGUGUAGGGGACUGGAAGAAGGGGACUAACAAACUGUCAAGUAACCCAGUAAUUGGGACUGGGAAGUACUCAAUUUGUUUGUUACAUAGAAUAGAAGAAGGACACAAAGUGAAUAAUUAUAAGUAUAGGUAAACAAUUCUUCCUGUCUUUUUGGAGAAGGACACCAGAAUAAGCAUAAACCCCCCAAAACUAUUCAACCUGUAAAAGUCUUCAUCCUUUCUUCUUAUAUAGUCUUGAAUAUCUUUGUCUUCUUUGAUUGUAGCAAUAGCCAUUUCAGGAGGAUAUACUAACUCAAAUACACCUUUUAGCUAAAAUAAUAGGUAGAACAAGUCAGUAUUUAUCCCUUUUGUGGGCUUCCCUCCCCGCUAUAUAUGGUCACAAGACCAGUUUAUUGGGUGGAGUAAAUCAAUAGGUGUGGUUUUAUUGAAGGGGGUGCAGGUGGGGGAAGGCUCUAUAAAAUUUGAGCAGAAACAGUAUACAGAAAGUUAUGAGUAAAUAAGCAGAAACCUAGAAGAAAACAGCUACAAGUGUGUUAGCUACUAUUAUAGAAAGAAAAGAUCCUAAGAUACCAAACAAAAGAUCUAUGAAUGGGAAAAAUAAAUUCACAGAAGUAAUAUUACCAAAGAAGAAAACAAACCCAGGACACGAGCUUUAUGGCAAUUCAGGUCAGAACACAUUGUUGAAUUGCACUGGACCACAUCUCAGAAUUGUGCUGUGACUUAUUCUAGCCAAGCAGACACCUCCUCUAAACAGUAGAAGGCAAGCAGUUUAACUCUUCACUGCUACAGGGCUGCAUGUUUUGGCACCAGUUUUUAAAGAACAUCCAUUGAGAUCAAUAGCAUGCAAGGUCACACCUGGUAUGUCCUACUGCACUGGAGAGGACCACUAUGAACUACCUUGGCCUGUGGCUUUUUCAACCCCUUAGGAAAUAGUUUGUCAUUUUAUGCCAACAAUCCUGUCAAGAUUUGCCUAUAUACACAAACACACAAUAGUUAUAUGAUAGCCUUUAUAAAUAAGAACAGACUCAGUAUAAUAAUAUCUGUGUAAUAUAUGUCCUGUGCUGGGGAGCUCUAUUCUUCCCUUUUAUGGGAUGAAACUCAUGAUCUAAUAUGUCUUUCAUUCUUAAGUGCUAAAUUCUAUACAUGUAUUUUUUUCCCCACUGUCUGAGAAAAAAUUCAGAAUGAAACAUCUGUUAAAAAUUAACUUAGUCCCAGAUCUGUACAUUUUUCUAUCUAGUUACAUUUGGAAAAUCCUAAAUAAAGAAUAUUUUGAAAGAAAAGAAUUUAACUUUAUCCUGGGAACAUGCAGUUCAGGUUUUGAAAGGGGAAACAUGUAAUAAAGUCUGUUUUAAAUGAAACUGGUAAGGCAGUAAAAUACGUAAGUGGAAACUUUGAGGAAACUGGCAAUGAGAAACUGGAAAUCAAGCAGUAAUUUAAGUUUCACUCCACCACCCUUUGCAUGUGUGAGUACAAAGGAGAGACUGGGCAUGAGUGUGAGUCAGAGCCCUCCUCUCAGGAACCAGAGGGACAGAGAUUCCCAGCAUCUGUUUCCUUAACUAUCACCCAGAGGAUACUGGUGGUAAAUCACAGUGAGUAAAAAUAGAAUCAGAAGACUAGCUCAAAACAAAUGAAAUACUGUAUUAUUAUGCAGUAUAUUUAAGUGUAUCUGUAUGUAGCACUCUUGCUCAACCUUUAUCCAUUUACAAACUCUAUGUGUCAAAUCCAUUUUAUGUUCAAGCAGAUUGUUGUUAUUAAAACUGCAAAUGUGGACACUUAGGAUUUCCCAAAGAGAACAGUCUGCCAAAUCAGUUUAAUAGCUAGCAGAGUUAAAGAACUCAUAUCUUUUAAACAAGUAUUCUGAAAGAGUUGAUUUGGACAUGGAAGGCCAGAUCCUUUGGUGGUAUAAAUCACUAUGCCGAUUUGCACCAACUGUGAUUCUGGCCCAGAGAUUCCAAUGAAAGAGUGAAUUUGGAGUCAUGAUGUUUUACGUGGCCCACUGAUCUGAACAGAAAACUCCCAUGUCAUCAGUGCCAGAUAAAUCGGAAUACAGAUACUCACUUGCCUUGCAGUGCUGUAGUGUGAUUUAAUUAAAUUGCUGUGGGUUCCUCAGAUGGAAGGUACUACAGAGGUGCAAAGAAUUAUCAUCAUCCAUUAGAGUUUUGAGUGUGUACAUAGGUACCAAAUGUUUUAAAUAAUACCUUACUCACUUGUUAAACUCCUGACAUUUUACAAAAAUGUUAAAGGCCAGCUUGCUGAACAGGAUUCUUCUGUUCUUUAGCACACAGAACUGGAUGAGUUACUGUAAGCAAUACUGUAAUUAGCAAUGGUUCAUUCCUGAAUAUAAAGCAAUAAUGCUUCCAGGGCCUUUAGAUGAAAAGCUCAAGUGUUUAUAUUAGAAACAGGUAUGUAUGUUUAAAUAAACUAAAUUAGAUAUUUCUUGGACCUGGUUGCAUUUAUAAUAUUUUAUUAAAUUAUAGUUGCAGAUUUUCAACAAAUCCAGCAGCUUUAAUAAAUAAGAUUAGGUGGGGAAAGUUAACAGUAUGUAAUGGAAUUGAUCCACUAAAUUAGUAUUGACACCUUAGUGGCUACCUUUAAAUAUACGUUAUUAUCAAGAGAGAAUGUAACCUAUCUGCUUGUCUUUAAUAUGUUGCUUCUGCAUAUUUCAAGGAUACACUUUUUGUCUUGUUUAUUCAUCAUGAAAAGUCUUGGCAUUACUGCAUUAAUUUAGUUUUGUUUCCAAUUCAAGAUGUUUUAAGAAAAGCCAGUUCUAAAGAAAUCAUUUAUAAUUCAUUUAGAUAGGUCUAAAAAGACUCUUGGUGUUGAUGAAUGUGUUUUGUUAGAACAGUUACACUUUGCUGACAAAAACAUAAUAUUCAGAGACUAGAACAAUGAUAUAUGCAAUAAAUACAAUGAAAGAAUGAACUAGAAAUAGACAAAAAAAAAUCUGUCAAGCAAAAAAGAAGACAUCUUGCACUGAGGAUCGGAGGCAGCCAAUCUCUCAGUAUUAUUAUGUACAGUGAAUGUGAUUUAAAUCAGUAUGUACUAAUAGUGAAGUGGCAGAACAGAAAUAUGCUGCCAUAUUGAAAUUCAGAUUUAGAUUUAUUCAAAUUUACUUUAAUCCCA